rnacentral:lncRNA from 1 species
UAGCCAGUUAAGGGGAGGUCAGAAGUUCCCCAGGCUCACAGUGAGAGGAUCCAAACCCAGCCCUGGGGUGCAGAAAGAGACAGUGAGAUUGUAUGGCUGACUGGACUUGGGACGCCAUGGAGAACUUGAGCUACUCAUGUCGGAGGGCAUAAAGUGGGGAAGAUUCUGAGGAAGAGAGUACAAGCAACUUUCACACAGAAAUACAGAUCUGGUUUAGCUCCAGUCAGGAGCUGAGCUUCUUCGGAUCCUGCUCAUAGAGGGGUAACCAUCCUGGCCCAGGCAGAGGAGACCUGUUAGGUCUGGGACUCCACCACAUGCUAAAAAUAUCAGUGUCAUAUAAUCAUCCUGUCGUUCUUCUUGAUCUCAAUUGGUCCUCCUGAUUCAUGCCAUCUGCAAAUUUGCACAUCCUUUGUGCUCCGUUUUGCUCACAUUUCAUGCCUUCCUUUGCCAUCUCAUGUACUCUGCAUGUUUCAAUCUCUGGGCUUCCAUUUUUCUUCUUCCUUUUUAAUGCAGUGUGUUUUUUUCUCUUUCUCUUCCCUCCUUUGCACUCCCACCUUCCUCCUCCCUCCACACCAAUCAAAUUCCUGCUUGCUUCUUGCCAUAUUCAUUAUCCUACCUCAUUCCCCCCUCAUUCCUAGAAAACAGCUCACAGAGACUCACCCUUCCCCCUCAAGCCCGCAAUGCCCACCCUCCAUAAAUUCCAGCAGCCUGGCAAUCAGUAACUUCAGCAUCACACUUCACAGCUCUCAGAGUUUACACUACUUGUUACUACUCUCCUUGCUACUGCUCUCUAGGGUUUCUGCUAAAGAAAAAAAAAGAUCCACUUUAAAAAUCUGCUGGGUACAAGUUGAACCCACAGUUAAAUUUACUCGCACAUUUACACAUUUCAGGGUUUUAUUUUAACUAGUACCUCAGGUCUAUGCUCAGUUAUGCAGUGAACAAAGACUAGAUCCCUAGGGAACAAAUUUUUCUCUACUCUAAAGAAGAAAACCAUCUAAACAUUCAACAGAAACCCUGGUACUGGGUCCACCCACUCUCUCAGCUCUCCACUCCCCCAAUCUCAAGCCGAUGGGACAUCGUUUUCUCCUCGGUGGAGUCAUUUCUUUCACUCCUCCUGGAGCUCAGACUGCCUCCCCGUGUGUGUAUGUGUGCACACGUGUGUGGCCACUGCUGUUUCUCCAAAGGGCUCACCUCUCUUCUGCCAUUUUGGCAGGACACGGGGAGGCGGCUCUCCCGCUCUCCCUCUCUCUUUCUCUCCCUGCCCCCAACUCAGCCUAGGCUUUUUCCUGUCUCUUAACUCCACCAGUGCAGCAGCAACUAGCUGAGCUGCUUGCGUGUGAGCCAGAGAGAGAGAGAGAGAGAGAGAGAGAGAGAGAGAGAGAGAGAGAGUGUGUGUGUAUGUGUGAGUGUGUGUGUGUGUGUGUGUGUGUGUGUGAGUGUCUGCGUGCGCAGCUAGGCCAAGCCUGCAAGCCUGCCUGUCACUGGAGAGUUUUAGUUUGCAUUCAGAAGAAAGGAGGAG